GGGGUCGUAGCUCAGUGGUACAGGAUCUGCUUUGCAUGCAGAAGGUCCUAGGUUCAGUCCCCAAUGGGAUCUCC